UAUAAAAUAUGGCUGCCUCUUCAACACCUCUCUUUAGUUGCUUAAGAAAAUUGCAUAUGCCUAAGUUACAAAAUUAUCAAAUUAUCAUGUCUCAAAGCUUCCAUGGUGAAGGGAAUUCAUCUUAUAGUAUUGUUGAUUCAAGUUUAAAUACUCUAAGACAAAGAAUAGAGGUACUAAGGAAGAAGGAUAAGUUGAUGAUCAACACAAUUUACAAACAUGAAAAUGGUUGGAAUUAUUUAUGGGAGUAUGAUUACAAACACAAGAAACAUACUUUAAUAUUGGAAUUGAUUGAGCUAGUAGGUUUAAUAAGCACCAAUAUAGGAUUUGUUUUCCUAAGUGGUUAUUCUUGCAUGUUUCUUGUUUCCCUCAUACUUCAUCUCGCUAGACGUUGAUCUAUGUUAUUCGAACUUCUAAGAAAUACUAUUAAGUUUGUGUCAGAUUUUUAAAAAAUUAUUCCUUCUGUUCGAUAUUAGAUGUAAGGGGGACAACGGAAUCGGUACUUACCGGUUACCGGUCCGUCCCGUCCCGGUUCGCUUCCGGUCUGGUUCGAUACCGGUUAGUCCUGGUAUAGACCGGUUCGGUCCGGUUCCGGUACAGGUAACGGGACGAAAACCAGAAUGUGCACUUUUUGCUCAACUUUUCUAAUUUAGAUGUGCACUUUUUAUUGAAUAUGAGGAUUACGAAAUUAUUAAUAGAUUGAUCAACUUUAC